AUUGAACGCUGGCGGCAGGCUUAACACAUGCAAGUCGAGCGGAGAUGAGGUGCUUGCACCUUAUCUUAGCGGCGGACGGGUGAGUAAUGCUUAGGAAUCUGCCAUUUAGUGGGGGACAACAUUCCGAAAGGAAUGCUAAUACCGCAUACGUCCUACGGGAGAAAGCAGGGGAUCUUCGGACCUUGCGUUAGAUGAUGAGCCUAAGUCGGAUUAGCUAGUUGGUGGGGUAAAGGCCUACCAAGGCGACGAUCUGUAGCGGGUCUGAGAGGAUGAUCCGCCACACUGGGACUGAGACACGGCCCAGACUCCUACGGGAGGCAGCAGUGGGGAAUAUUGGACAAUGGGCGGAAGCCUGAUCCAGCCAUGCCGCGUGUGUGAAGAAGGCCUUUUGGUUGUAAAGCACUUUAAGCGAGGAGGAGGCUACUAGUACUAAUACUACUGGAUAGUGGACGUUACUCGCAGAAUAAGCACCGGCUAACUCUGUGCCAGCCGCCGCCGUAAAAC
rnacentral:rRNA from 1 species